rnacentral:rRNA from 1 species
AUAGUUUGAUCCUGGCUCCGAACGAACGUUACCGGCGCCCUAAGACAUGCAAGUCGAGCGUGAAAGGGCUUCGGCCCCUGUAAAGCGGCGCACGGGUGAGUAACACGUAGGUCAUCAUUCCUCGAGGGGUGGACAACCCUCCGAAAGGAGGACUCAUACAGCAUGACGACAGAAAUGUCCACAGCGUGCCUCUUCAUGAAAGCUCGCGCUAGAGGAUGAGCCUGCGGCCCAUCAGGUAGUUGGUGGGGUAAUGGCCCACCAAGCCAGAGACGGGUAGCUGGUCUGAGAGGAUGAACAGCCACACUGGAACUGAGACACGGUCCAGACUCCUACGGGAGGCAGCAGUCGGGAAUCUUCCGCAAUGGGCGAAAGCCUGACGGAGCGACGCCGCGUGAGCGAUGAAGGCCUUCGGGUUGUAAAGCUCUGUGGGGAGGAAAGAAUAAGUUCAGGACAAUACCCUGAAUGAUGACGGUACCUCCUUAGCAAGCACCGGCUAACUCUGUGCCAGCAGCCGCGGUAAGACAGAGGGUGCAAACGUUGUUCGGAUUUACUGGGCGUAAAGCGCGUGUAGGCGGCUUCGCAAGUUGGAUGUGAAAGCCCACGGCUCAACCGUGGAAGCGCAUCCAAAACUGCGUCGCUGGAGUCUCGGAGAGGAAGGUGGAAUGCUUGGUGUAGAGGUGAAAUUCGUAGAUAUCAAGCAGAACACCUGCGGCGAAGGCGGCCUUCUGGACGAUGACUGACGCUGAGACGCGAAAGCGUGGGGAGCAAACAGGAUUAGAUACCCUGGUAGUCCACGCCGUAAACGAUGAGUGCUAGGUGUCACGGGCUUUGACCCUCGUGGUGCCGUAGCUAACGCAAUAAGCACUCCGCCUGGGGAGUACGGUCGCAAG